rnacentral:rRNA from 1 species
UACGUAGGGUGCGAGCGUUGUCCGGAAUUAUUGGGCGUAAAGAGCUCGUAGGCGGUUUGUCGCGUCUGCUGUGAAAUCCCGAGGCUCAACCUCGGGCCUGCAGUGGGUACGGGCAGACUUGAGUGGUGUAGGGGGAGACUGGAAUUCCUGGUGUAGCGGUGGAAUGCGCAGAUAAUCAGGAAGAACACCAAUUGCGAAGGCAGCUCGCUGGGACGUAACUGACGCUGAGACGCGAAAGCGUGGGGAGCAAACA